GAUGAACGCUGGCGGCGUGCUUAACACAUGCAAGUCGAACGGAAAGGCCCUGCUUUUGUGGGGUGCUCGAGUGGCGAACGGGUGAGUAACACGUGAGUAACCUGCCCUUGACUUUGGGAUAACUUCAGGAAACUGGGGCUACUACCGGAUAGGAGCCCCUGCUGCAUGGUGGGGGUUGGAAAGUCUCGGCGGUUGGGGAUGGACUCGCGGCUUAUCAGCUUGUUGGUGGGGUAGUGGCUUACCAAGGCUUUGACGGGUAGCCGGCCUGGGAGGGUGACCGGCCACAUUGGGACUGAGGUAGGGCCCAGACUCCUACGGGAGGCAGCAGUGGGAAGUAUUGCACAAUGGGCGGAAGCCUGAUGCGGCAACGCCGCGUUCGGGAUGACGGCCUUCGGGUUGUAAACCGCUUUCGCCUGUGACGAAGCGUGAGUGACGGUAAUGGAUGAAGAAGCACCGGCUAACUACGUG
rnacentral:rRNA from 1 species